rnacentral:rRNA from 1 species
UGGGGAAUUUUGGACAAUGGGCGAAAGCCUGAUCCAGCCAUGCCGCGUGAGUGAAAAAGGCCUUCGGGUUGUAAAGCUCUUUUAGUCGGAAAGAAAGAGUUGCAAUGAAUAAUUGUGAUUUAUGACGGUACCGACAGAAAAAGCACCGGCUAACUACGUGCCAGCAGCCGCGGUAAUACGUAGGGUGCGAGCGUUAAUCGGAAUUACUGGGCGUAAAGGGUGCGCAGGCGGUCUUGCAAGUCAGAUGUGAAAGCCCCGGGCUUAACCUGGGAAUUGCGUUUGAAACUACAAGGCUAGAGUGCAGCAGAGGGGAGUGGAAUUCCAUGUGUAGCAGUGAAAUGCGUAGAGAUGUGGAAGAACACCGAUGGCGAAGGCAGCUCCCUGGGUUGACACUGACGCUCAUGCACGAAAGCGUGGGGAGCAAACA